ensembl:snRNA U6 U6 spliceosomal RNA
UUGCUUUGGUAGCGGAUAUACUAAAAUUGGCACAAUAUUGAAGAGAUUAGCGUGGUGCUGGGCAAGGAUGACAGGCAAAUUUGUGAAGUGUUAAAAAAAAUC